CCAUAUGAAAAUGGCCACGCAGUUGCAUUCCCGCACAUCCUUCAACCCCUGCGCGCUGUCAGCCUGUAGCCCCGCACACACGCUGCUGCUGCAGCGUUCACCAUGUCUUACUGACACGUUAACUGCCUGUGUGCAUACGAGAGCACAAUCCGAGCCAUUAUUACUGGCGGGAGAGACGUAACUUUCCCCGAGAGAAGUGGGUAAAUAAGAUCCAGUGUUACCAGUCCGCCACCUAGCUGCGGAGACGCGCCGACGAAGAUCUGUCGACUGUAUGAUUAUGAAAACACCCGCGCCAAUGUUGUUGCACAGUAGGCUUCGCGCUCCGAUGGGACUGAAACUCGGUUUUAGGAGGUGUUUUAACCUCUGCUGGCCGUAGUUAUGUAAUCAAAGCAACAUCUAAUGCACCAAAAGCUCUCCGGAUCGCUGUUGGUGCGAAGGAGAGCAGGACAGCAACACCUUAACCUCCUGCCUUCACGCAGUUGGCUUCGGGACGCGCUCUCGGGAUAUUCUCCGGGGAAUCUUUUGAUUAACACCUUCGUUCUGCUGUUCACCCCUGACCCUACCAACUCCGCCAGGACUUUUUGAAAGUGUUUUAUCCUGGAAACCCUAACACGUCUUACUACUCCCCCCUAACUUCUCUGAUGGACCAGAGAGUGAAGGGGGGAUCCCCUCCAACAACAAACUCCCCUCUUGAUCGCACCUCUGCACCUGAAGACUCUGAGAGGGACGAAGUGGCAGAGAAAAAGAGGAGAGGUGAGGGAGAGGAUGGAGACAUAGGGGAAAAGGAGGGUGAAAAAAGAGGAGCAGUAAAAAAGAGGGACGGAGACAAGGGGGCAGUGCUGGAGCUGCUCAUCGAGGGGCGCUGUGGAAGUGCGGGGCAGCAACAGCUUCAGAUCUCCAGUAGGGAGACGAGCUGUCCCGAGGGGAAUGUACGACUACGGAUUGGACUCCAGGCCAAACGCACAAAGAAACCGCCCAAGAUCUUGGAGAGCUAUGUUUGCAAACCCACUAUCAGGACCUAUCAGAGACAAGGCAAGGGGGUACAGCUGAAGGGGGAUGGAGAAGGAGGAGUAGGUCAGCAGAGUAAAAGCUCUAUUCCUGACAAGGCAACCAGAGAUCAACGCUCAGGCUCGGAUUCUGUCCAGACCAUAUCAAAACAAGCUGCAUCUGCUCCUUCGCCACCACUUGCAUCAUUGUCGUCAUCAUCUCUGUCAUCCCAGCCGCUGGCAACAUUACCUACAGCUUCUACCCAAGCCUCAGUCCCCGCCAUAGCCGGUCAAGGGACAAAGUCUGCCAAACAGGUACCUAUCAAGCUGGCAGAUAAGACUGAGGUAAAUUCAACUGGCUCAUCUGAGAAAGCAAAGAAAGAGAAGCAUCCCAGUGUCAAUGGCCAGCCUGUUCCUGCAGGGCAGAAACCCGCUUCACCAACAGCUGACCAGACAACUUCGAAUACCCCUUCCAGCCCAUGCAUCCAAGUUCUAUCUGCAUCAGAAACCAAAAACGAGGGGAAGACCUCCAAGAAGCAUAAUGGUUUGGUGCAGACAUCAAAACAAAAGGGAUUAUCCAGUGCGAAAAACUCUGCCGACACCCUUGGCACUUCUGCAUCGUCGAAAGUUGGAAAAUCCUCGGCUUCUUCUGCGGACUCUUUGACAAGAUCGCCAGGCUCCAACAGCUCCCAGAAAGAACUUAGCCAGUCCAAUAAGAGUAGACCAGACUCUCCUUCUUUUCCCUUGGUCACCCCUAAACCACAGUCCUCCUCAUCAGUGGAUCUCUCCUCUGCCUACUCCCAAGAGCAGGACCCUUCAUUACAGCCCUCAGUCGAGAAAAAGAGAGAGAAAGACAGGAAAGCCAAGAAGGAGAAAAGGAGGGACAAAAAAUCAAAGCGGGAGAAACUUGAGGCUGAAAGAGCAAAAAGUCAGAGCAGAAAGGAAGACGGCAAGAAGAAAAAGAAAGAGAAAGGGAAGGAUGGGAAAUCAAGACAUGGUAAAGUUAAGGAUGAAAGACAUAAGACUGAUGACACUUGUACUGAUGAACUAAAUAUUGAUAGAGGAAAGGUUGAGAACAAGAAGGAUAAGCUAAGCCCAGAGAGACAAAAAGCAGAAGAUAAUAAUGCAAAUGGUGAGGCAGUUGUUGGCAGUAAGAUAGAUACAAACUGUAAAUUAGUGAAUACACUCAGACCAGAUGAUAUAAACAAGACAGAAGACAGUUGCAAGCCAGUUAAACAAGCAGAGCCAGCAACAGGUGACACCAGUAAAUCAAAAGAACAAGACGUCCCAAGACAUUCAACUUCGCCUCCAAGCCAACCCUCUUCUUCUGCCCCUCCCUCUCUACCCAAUCCUUCAGCCCGUGCCCCCGUUUCUCCCCCUUCUUCCCCACAAGAGCAGGACAGCCGCCCACUUAAGAAACGCAAAGCCAGACGGCCCAGCUGGACCAAGCUGGUGCAUCGAGCUCAGAGGGUGGAAAAUCAGGAAGCCCCUUCAGAUUCCCAGCAUCAUUCAUCACUAAAUUUCUCCCAGAACCCGAAAACAUUGCUUUCUGCCAAAGCCACUAUUCAACAGACUGAGGAGUCUCACCCAGCUUCCUCUAGCUCCGUAACCAGCAGUUCCUACCCUACCAAGCCUCCAUCCCCAAAACAGAGUCACUCAUCUUCUGACCCUAGCCCCCCUACUUCCAGAAGCCCAGUAACUCCUACUCGGAAAAGAGGCCGCCCUAAAUCUCAGAGCUCUAACUUAGAUGAUCCUCCCCCAAGACUUUCACCAAACACUUUCCCAAUUGAGGUGCCUCCUCUGGACUCUGACGGUAUUGAAAAAGCCCCUGUACUGGAGCCAAGUUCCAUACUGCAGUGUGCCACUCAGUCUAUAUCGAGCCCCAAGAAGCGUGGCCGUCCACCCAAACGACCCCUCCAAGAGGACCAAAGUGAAGAUGCACUGAAUCGCACUGAUGACACGAACAGAAGUAAAGACUUUCAUCCUCCUGAAAAGGGAAACAGGCAGCUAAAAAUCAGGAGGCUGAUUAAUGAGAUGAAGAAAAGAAAGAAGAGGAGACUUCACAAAGUAAUGCUGUCUGGGUAUGUUAGGAAAGAGGGAAGGGGAAGCGAGGUAGCAGAUGGGGAGACCUCUCUGAGAAUGUGUAAAUCGAUUGAGGCAACAACAGUACACACGCUCUCAGCCCUGUCAUCCUCCUUUGGGAGUAAGCUGGGCCCUCAGAUCAAUGUAAGCAAGAGAGGAACCAUCUACAUGGGCAAGAGGAGAGGACGCAAGCCUAAAGCCAAUCCAACAACCCAAACCAACUCCAAGAACCCUACUCAGUCAUCUCUAUUUACCAACCCAUCUGAGACAUCUCUCUUCUCUAACCAACCCAGCUCUCACCCCUUUCCCUCCCCAUCUCUUACGCACUCCAGUGGGGCCCAGAGCCCUUACAGUGAAGGCAGCCUCACAGAACCGACAUCCUCCCUCCUUUUUCCCCAUCCGUUCUCCCUCCCUUCACCAUCAUCCUCCUGUACCUCACCUCGUCCUCCCUCAUCCUCAUCCCUCUCCCCCUUUGUGAAGAAGAGUUGUCCUUGUCAAGGAAGGCAUCACUUUCCCUUCCACCAGUCUUCUUGUAAGCUCUCCUGUCCCACACCUCCGAUGCAUCACACACCUGGCUCACCUGGCCACCUUAAGGAAGCUACCCCCUCCCCCAGGAGUGAAUCACACAGUGAGGAGACGCUGCCAAGCGAUAGUGGGAUUGGGACGGACAACAACAGUGUUUCUGAGCGAGGAGAGAUGAGGGGAGCUCGGGGCUUGCUCAGGUUGGGCCAGGGGUCAGGAGUGAUUCUGGGUGGUCAAAGGCACCCUUCGCUUGUGGAUCGUCCUUCUCCUGUUUCUUCACCUCUCUCUCACAUACCAAGACAAACAAAUCCUGUCACCAAUGCAAGUGCUGUGGAGCGCCACAGGCACAGGCACAGGCGGAGGGAUUAUGACUGUUCCUCUUCCUGUACUUGCUUGUGCCCCUGCCCCUGCCCGGGACACAACAAAUGCACUCAUUCAGACUUUUACCCUUGUCUUGGGCACAAUGCACUGAAGAGACAAAAGAAUAAACAUAAGAAGAAGCACCAGCAGCUGCACAUGCAGGAUCCAGAGUUUCUAGCAGAACUCGAAGAUCUGAUUGGGCAGUUUAGUGAGGUCCAUAUCGGACGGCGAAGUUGGGCAAGAACAGGACUUUCACAGGGCUUUGAUGGGAGUGGGAAUUCUGCUGGAGGAAGACGCCAUCACUCCUCCCAUUCUCUGCGCUCCAAUAUCUUCAGAAUCAAUUUGAAUGGCUUCUACUCGCCUCACCCAUCAUCCUACUCUGCUAAUCCCCCCUUCUCUCCCCACCCUUUCUACCCCUGCCAGCCUGUGCAUUGUAACAGGAAGCCAGACCGAAGGCAGUGUGGUUGCCCUUCAAAGUUCCAGGAGACCAUUGAAAAUAUGGGCUUUUACAGCAGCUACCCCCCAACUACUGCACUUUACCACCACCUCCCCAGCUCCUACCCUCUUCCGACUCCACACCAGUACAGCUCCCACCAGCCUCAUCAUGCCCACUUCUUCCUCAACCCAGCCAGAUUCCACAGACGGAGGAGCAGGUUGCUGAGGGAGGGAGCACUAGGGGGAGAGGUCGAUGGAGAUAUAGAAGGAGGCAGUGGAGGAGGCCAACACCUCAGCUCAGGGUUUACGUCCAGCCUCAUCUGUGGCUGUGGGAGAAGCGAACACAAACACAAGCAUAAGCACCGUCACAGGCACUGUGAACGAGACAUAGAUGAUGAGGAAGAUUUACGCGAUGAUGAGGAGGAAGAUGGAAUGGAAAGAGAGGGGUUAGCUAGUUCAAAGGCAAGGUCAGGGUUCGUUUUGGGGUCAGGAGAUGGAGGAAGAAAAGGGGCAAAAGGGAUGGGGCGGAUGCUGUCCAAAGAAUCACCUUGGUUGUGUGACAAGAGAAAUGAUUCCUUUUCCUCUGGUACUGCUGCCACAUCAUCAUCAUCGUCAUCGUCAUCGUCAGCAGAAAGGUACAAACAUACAUCUCUCACAUCACUAGGUCUGGGUUCCUCUCACCUUUCCUCCUUUGGGGGAGGCUGGGGUGGCAUGGGACAGAGCUGGACAAAAUUUGGAGGCCUGGGACGGACAGGAUUUGGCAACUCAAACCCAAACUGGAGAAGCUUAGCUGGGGAGCAACGUAAACGCCGGCUGGUUGAAUCAGAAGGAGAGGAAGAGGAUGGUGAGGAUGUCCAGGAGUCACUUCCGUACAGAAGGUCCCCUUCCCCAGUACAUACCAACCUUUUCACAACUGCUGCUACGGCAACAGGGGGGAGAGGUCUGAGGAGUGAAUUAGGUGGCCGAAAUCCAGGAUGUGGAGACAGAUCAUGGAGGAGAGAUCCGCCGACCUGGUCAGAGAGGAGAGAAACAGGUUUACAAGGUGACUCAAGAAGCCGGGGGCAGCAAAAAAGUGUGCCAACUCCAGACAGUGUGGCAGGGACAAACAAAAGAGGGCCAGGAAGGCCAAGAAAGCACCCACUGCCCUCCACUGUAUCCUCCCCCACGCACUCAUCUGCUGCUCCCUCCAUGUCAUCAGCCGACCUCUUGCCAGGACAAGGCCACAACAGAGAUGGGAGAGAAGUGGGUGGGAAAAAAGAAGAAAGAAGGCCAGAGAAAGAUGAAGUAAGCGAUACACUGCAGCAGGUGACAGAAUCGGAGCUGCAGGCUAGGAGGAAGAGAGGACGAAAGAGAAAACAUGGUGACUCUCCUUGUCAUCAAAGCACUGUGUGCUAAACCAGUGCCUUUUCUCUCUUUCUCUUUUUCCUCUCUAUCAUUCUAUCUCUCUCUUCAUGCUUUCUUUUUAGUGUCAUUGAGGACAGACCUGAGUGUGACGCCCCUCCUGAAAGUAUCAGCCAAUCAGAGGUCGACCAGGCUCCACCUCAACCGGUUACCAUACAAAGAGAGGAGAGAGCAGAUGGUCCUCCCAGAAAAAAGUUUCUGAGGGCAGGUCUUUACUCAGAUGAUUACAAAACCACAGAGCCCCCCUCACUAGCCCAGCAGUCGUGUAGAGAGAGUAUGGAACACACCACAGAGGAGCGUGAAUACAGCCUUUUACCAGCUCCCAUACAUGUUGGGAAAUACCUUAGGCUGAAGCGGAUUAAUUUCCAGCUACCUUAUGAUGUCAUGUGGCAUUGGCAGCACAAUAAGCUUCAAAAGCCGCCUGCUGUUCCAUUGAAGAGGAAGCGUCGUUACUGCCGGCUGAAGGAAAGGACUUUAUCCUCUAACCAGACAGUGGAGGAGAGCUGCAGUGACAUUACCAGCCUGUUUCCCCACCUGGAUAUGGAGCCUUUGACCAGCAGUGAGAGGAGCUUUGUGGUGAAACAGCACGUGUUCCUUGUGAGGAACUGGGAGCUGGUGAGAGACAGACAAAUCCGACUGAGGAUAGAGAGGGAGAGGGAAAGAGACCUGGAGGGAGAGGAGAGGGACUGUCCACAACCAUCCUGUGAUGGAGCCAAUGGGGACGACAGCCACAUCAAGUCAGACCAGCUAGUGGGGGUGGAGGUGACAGUUACCAGCAGUGACCCCCACCAUCAGAGUCAGGACACCUCCAGCUCACUCACUGCCAGCCCCUUUUCCACCAAAACCCAGAACAGACAUGAGGAGGAGGAGGGAGAGGAAGAAAAACAAGGGGAGGAAGAGGUCUGCAGCAGAGAACAGAGGAGGAAACGGCUGAAUGAUUUACUUUUGACCCUGCAGCAUUUAUAAGCUAUCAGAGAAAGGUGGGAGCACUCUGCGAAAAGGGACCAGGCCCACCACAGGACAGAUGGACAGGAUAUGAUGUCACAACACUGCUAUUAACAGUAGUAGUGCCUCAGAGUACAAAGUGAGAAAAAGGGAGACGAGAGCUGGAGAAUUAUAGCGGCUGAAAAAGCAAGAAAGACAUCUCACACACUGACAGAUGAGUGUGUUGAACCUAGCACUCUGAAGGGCAUCACACCAAGGAUGAAACCAUGGCAACACAUCCUUUGUCCAAACGGCGAGGGAUGAUGAGAGAUAGAUUGUCCCGGAUGAAAAAAGAAAGAAACAGACCAGCUGAAAGGAAUUUGCACUAGUGCUGGAUGAACAAGCACACUAAAGACUGUAUGUAUGCAGAGUGGACACACUUUAAAACACACACGCAUACACUUUGAUUGCUCUUACUUUGGCACCUUAAGCAAACUGGGAAAGACAUACACUUUGCUUGGAGACUGAAAGUGGACAUACAUGGUACUCAGCAUUUCGGCUCUGAAGUUUGCAAGAGACGAGGAGUUCACAUAAAAAGCCUGAGGGAACAAAAAUGUAGCCCUAAGUAGGUCAAAAUUGAACCCUCAUUUAAUCGUUUAGCUUUCAAAGUCACACUGCACCUUUGGGAAAAAGACACGAGGAGGAGUGAACCAGUUAAAAAGCUGUUGAGACAGUGUUAGGGGUUUUCUUCACUUUACCAAGACAGUGUCUGCUAUGUACCAGUGAAUAGGCUGGGGAGGGAGGAGGGAGGAGGGAGGAGGGGUGGGCUUAGUGAUAGGAAUUUUGGCAUCGCUGCAAGAGAAUUUCUAAUGAGGUUUUAAGAAAGAAGAUAUUUUUGAAAAAAAACAACAGCUUGAGAACUAUCUGCUUAAAAAAUAGUAUAUUCAAGAGAGGAAUGUUUAUUGUUGACUAUUUUCAGUAUUGCUUCCCGGCGAAGGGGGUAAAAAGUGUUUUGUUUACUUCGGACUGCCUUUGAGAAUGUUUUGCUCCAGAGCAUUGACAAUCAGAAUGUCCUCGGGGGGAAGAAACGAGAGAGGAAAGGGAAUGAAAAGUAGAAUUAAUUUGCCCCAAAUGCUCUGUAGAAGUGCCAUGUUGUCUUGUGUAUGUACCUAAGCGAACUCAUGCAGUCUUUAAAAGCAAUAUCUCCUCUGAUAAGGACUAUAUAAGGACUUCUUUUUGUUAUGUUUUUUUUAAAGUUGUGAAUAUUUGAGGAUUGGGGGUUAUUUUUAUGUACAGUUGCAAAGUAGAUUGUUCACAUUUUGGAGCAUUGGGCUAAGCCAGUGGAAGAAACCAUAAGUGUUUAGUUUCAUGUGAAUGUACAUAAAGAGAGAGAGAGAGAGAGCUGUUUUCCUUCUAUCUGCAGUAGCGUGUAAAAUUACUACCAUACAUGACAAUACUAUUGGGAUUAUACUUUACACUUAAUAAUCAAAUCUGUCAUUUUACUAACAUGUUUUUAACAGAUUAUAAAGCUGACCAAUAUUUCAGUCAUUUCUCCUUCAAAUUGACUAUGAUUGUAUAUGGUUUUUUUGUAGAAUUACUUAAUUUGUCUCUUUUUUUAGCUGAGCGUACUUUUUGUUUUUUAUAUUGGUCAGACAAUCAGUGACAGUGACUUAGUUUUUUCCAGUGUUAAACUUCUGCUCUCUUUCAGUAGUGUGGCUUCUAAUAAUGAGCCAAGAAAGUGCAAUUUCUUUGACUGUUUACAUACUGUAUGUAUAUUUUUCCUCUUUCCUUUUUUAACUAAGAGCACUACAUUAUUGCCAGUGGAUGAUUAACUUUAUAACAAAGGUACACCUAAAGAGUUAUUUAUCUAGUUUGCAUGACUUGUAACCUUUGCCUGUCGCCUCUGAUAACGUGCAUCUGAAAAACAAAACAUCAAAAACAGAUAUAACCCAACGCCAUAGAAUGUCAGCUCAAACUUUUGCCUCUAUAACCACAAUAAUAAAAGCAUUUUAUGUCUACUAGUACUAAA